UACGGAGGAUGCAAGCGUUAUCCGGAAUUAUUGGGCGUAAAGCGUCCGCAGGUGGUUGGUCAAGUCUGCUGUCAAAGCGUGGAGCUCAACUCCAUAAGGGCGGUGGAAACUGAUUAACUAGAGGAUGGUAGGGGUCACGGGAAUUCCCAGUGUAGCGGUGAAAUGCGUAGAUAUUGGGAAGAACACCAGCGGCGAAAGCGCGUGACUGGGCCAUUACUGACACUCAUGGACGAAAGCUAGGGGAGCGAAAGGG
rnacentral:rRNA from 1 species